GAUGAACGCUGGCGGCGUGCCUAAUACAUGCAAGUCGAGCGAACGGACGAGAAGCUUGCUUCUCUGAUGUUAGCGGCGGACGGGUGAGUAACACGUGGAUAACCUACCUAUAAGACUGGGAUAACUUCGGGAAACCGGAGCUAAUACCGGAUAAUAUUUUGAACCGCAUGGUUCAAAAGUGAAAGACGGUCUUGCUGUCACUUAUAGAUGGAUCCGCGCUGCAUUAGCUAGUUGGUAAGGUAACGGCUUACCAAGGCAACGAUGCAUAGCCGACCUGAGAGGGUGAUCGGCCACACUGGAACUGAGACACGGUCCAGACUCCUACGGGAGGCAGCAGUAGGGAAUCUUCCGCAAUGGGCCAAAGCCUGACGGAGCAACGCCGCGUGAGUGAUGAAGGUCUUCGGAUCGUAAAACUCUGUUAUUAGGGAAGAACAUAUGUGUAAGUAACUGUGCACAUCUUGACGGUACCUAAUCAGAAAGCCACGGCUAACUACGUG
rnacentral:rRNA from 1 species